ensembl:lncRNA
AUGAUGCCCUGCGGACUAGGGUACCCUCCAACUUUCCAGAGUUCCAGCCCAUGCCCAUUGCCUCAGGCUGGGGACUCCCUGAGCCAGAACCAUCAGCUUCCUGAGGGGGGGCUGGCGGUAGUCCCAUCAUCAGCCCUGGAUCUGGGUGAAGCUGCGAGUCACAGAGACCCAAGGCGGGCGAGCCCUGCUCUGCCUGCAGAGUCCACACCUGGCUGCCUACAAGAGCUGAACCCCACCACCAGCUUUGGGGACCCAGGAAGUUCUGAGUUCAAGAACCUGGCCCAGAGGGCAGAGAGGAGACAAGCAGGACCCACAACCCAGAGGCCCUGUCAACAGCCAUCCGUGAAUGUAGGCGGUCGAAAGCUCACUCAGGGAGCCCCAAGGCUCUGGGGCCUGCCCUCCCGGGGCCUGCCAGAACCCCAGGUUCCCCUGGAGGGGCUGGGCUGGAGCCUGGGCCGGGAGAGAGCAGAACUUCAGAAACUGCUGAGGAUCGAGAUUCCUCAGAGGCAGAGAGAGGGGGACCCUCAGGAGCAGAAAGAAGAGAGCCCCCAGGGUCAGAGAGGGGAAGCCCCCCAGGGGGAGAGCAAAGUUCCUUCCGGACACAGAGAGAAGACACGCCAGGGUCAGUGUGCGGAGGCCACUCAGGCUCUGAGGGAGGAGGUCUCGGAGUAUCCCAGGUGUGAGGCUCCCCAGAGUGAGAGGAGAGAGUCUCCUCAAGGUCAAAGAGGAAACAGCCCUAAGUGUCAGAGAACGGAGGUUCUCCAGGAGACACAAGACCCGGAAAUGAAGACCCUUCAGACUUCCCCAGGCCCUAACUGGGAGGUGGCUGAGGGAGAGGUGCCUACACAACCCCCGGAGGAAGGCGGCUCCCUGGGAAUUUCUAGGGAUCUCUGUAGGUCCCUGGGAGAACAGAUGCCACAGCAAAGGGGUAGGGAGAGCCCUGGCUCCGGGGAAAGGGCCGCCCAGCGGCGAGAGUCAGCACCGGGCGCGGGAGAGCAGAGGGCCGCCGGGGAGCGGGUACGGACUCCCCUUCCACCCCCGAGGCCCCCGACCCGGCCGCUGCUCCCAAGCCCAGGGGCCGAGACGCUAGAGGCCCCAAGCACUGGGAGCUCGGGGCAGCAGGAGCGCCCCGCAGCUCCCCGGGGGCACCCAGGGCUGGUGCCCGACCCGCACGGGCUUCAGGACCGGGAAGAAAGCCCAGGCCCGGCGGAGCAGGUGCCGGACGCCGGCGGGGAGCCGAGGGGCGACGCGGAGGCCCCCAAGGCCUCGAAGGCCGCGUGGCCCUGGCCCCCGGGCAGGGAGAAGGCGUCGGCGGGCGUGAGCGCGGUGCAGCAGGAGACCGCUCUGCAGCGGCUGCUGGAGCUGCACCGCGCGGCCAGGCGCCGGCGGCGGCAGGAUCGCGAGCAGCAGCGGCUCCGGGUCUUGGAAUGCCUCCGCAUCGCCAGGAACCGCCACUGCCGGGUGCACCCUCUGGGGCCCCCACCCAGCCCAGCUCAGCUCCAGCCACAGGAGGACGCGGCGGGGCAGCGGCGAGCCCUGCGGCAGCAGCUGCAACAAGUGCAUCGGGAGAGGACCCGGCGGCUGCGGGCCCUCGGGGCCAGGAACACCCAGAACUUCCAGCAGCUACUGUGGCCUCGCACUGAGGACCCUUUGCCAGGAGAGGAGCCCUCGCCCUUCGCAGCCCCAUCUAGUCAUUGCUGAAUCCUCAAAGGGAUGA